CCGCUCAUGGCGUAGUGGUAACGCGCCCCAACUAGAGAUCGGGGAGUCGUGAGUUCGAUUCUCACUGAGAAGA
rnacentral:tRNA from 1 species